rnacentral:rRNA from 1 species
UGCAGUCGAGCGCACUCUUUUAGAGUGAGCGGCAAACGGGUGAGUAACGCGUGGGAAUCUACCCAUCUCUACGGAAUAACACAGAGAAAUUUGUGCUAAUACCGUAUACGUCCUUUUGGGAGAAAGAUUUAUCGGAGAUGGAUGAGCCCGCGUUGGAUUAGCUAGUUGGUGAGGUAAAGGCUCACCAAGGCGACGAUCCAUAGCUGGUCUGAGAGGAUGAUCAGCCACACUGGGACUGAGACACGGCCCAGA